rnacentral:tRNA from 1 species
UUAAUUGAAACCAAAUUAUGAGGUAAGUCACUGUUAAUGAUAUAAUUGAGAUCUCUCCAAUUAAA